rnacentral:lncRNA from 1 species
UUUUGCCUUUUCUAGGGGCACUCCUGUGGCAUAUGGAGGUUCCCAGGCUAGGGGUCGAAUUGGAGCUGUAGCCACCGGCCUACGCCAGAGCCACAGCAACGCAGGAUCGGAGAUGUGACUGCGACCUACACCACAGCUCACAGCAACGCCGGAUCCUUAACCCACUGAGCAAGGCCAGGGAUCGAACCCGCAACCUCAUGGUUCCUAGUCGGAUUUGUUAACCACUGCACCAAGACGGGAACUCCUGUAAUGUAAUUUUGAAAGGGUUUCACAAUUUCCUACCUAUCAUGUACUCAGUCUAGUUGCAGGAGUUGAUUACGUAGGUCUUAGGCAGUCUUCGAUUUUAAAGAAUUAAGCAGAUGGGCUUAACUGGACAUAUUAAAGGAUGACAGUGCUAUGAAAUAUCUACUUUGGGAUGUUAGAAAAAAAUAGAUGUAACCAAGCCCUUUUAAGCAAAUUUCUAUAAAAUCUCUCACAGGGCACCCCUGGCUUUCAUUCAGUGACCCUCAGAAUGGCUCUACUGAGGUUUCUCUAAGAUUCAGAAGUGGAAAAUAUGAAUAAAAUAUGGAUCAAUAAAGUAUCUUAUAGGUACUUUAGAGGAACAUUAAGUGAAUUGCCUGAGGUCACAGAGUGCUAACCAUGAGGGGGAAAAAGAACCUAGGACUCCCAGAUCCUGGCUUAAAACAUCUAAAGCACUUCCUCCUGUGGACUGUUUCUUGGGGGACAAUCCCAUAAUUAAUUUAAACAGCUUUCUGAGGCACAUUAAUUAUGUAUGCUGUCGGUACAGGAGGCCACUCCAAUGGGAGCAAAUGGCUUCCUUGCUAUCCAUAAAUGGGCCUGCUUCCCUCUUAGCGAGGCCAGGGCACUCUGGGAGGCCCUGAGAAAAAAACCCAAGCGGUGCCAAGAGAGCUGGGAGCUCAGGUGGGGCGCAGAUUUUUCAUCCGGCUGUCUUGUCUCAUCUUGUAGGAUCUCCUCAGGAGCCAGGGAACACUGACCUUCCUUCCAGCUGUCAAGGCUCGCCCCACCCUCCACCCCCACACCCCAGGCCCUCACCACCCUCAGAAGGAUGAUGCCCAGUGGUACGUUUUCCUGAGCUCAGCACUGCCCGAGGGCCCCGCUGUACUGCAAGAGGGCUGCACCCUGCCUUCCAUCUCUCCAAGUGGUUAAGGCAGAAUUACUCCCCUCCUCAUGCAGCCACACGAAUUUCUAAUACGCGGCAAGUUUCAGGGCUGCUGAACCAGAGUUUUGUGAGCAAACUCUUACAUGGCAAGAUGAUGACAAUUAAGAUCAUGGACUAUGGUACUAAGACUGAAAUACCGAAACAAAAGAAGCCCCUCUCAAGUUGGUCAGGAAAAGGAUCUUUGAUGGUAAUAUGGCAUCUGGUGAGGCUCAGAAAAAGAAGGACGUUCUUUUAUAUAAAAGCCAAAGUCUACAAUCAAAAUACAACUGCAACCACUUACCCUGCAACUAGAGUUGACUAAACCUUUCCUCUCUUUUUUGCCCAAGCCAAAUUAAAUGACUUACUGUUCUCUAGAGCAUAUCUGCAUUCUCAAGCCCCACUGCAAUUGUUCCUGCUCUCACUCAUUCCUGCACAUGCACUGAAGAAAUAUUAAGGCCAACUAUGAGUCAGGCACUAUUCCAGGUGGUAAGACCAUAGCAGUAUCCAAGACAAACAAGUCUCUGUACUCGUGGACUUGACUUCCAGUAGGGACAGGUGAUAAAUAGUAAGCCAAUGAACAUAUAACAGAGAAGAAUUAUUUAGGGAAGAAAGAUAAAGCAAGGUAAGGAGACAGAGUGAUGAAGGAGGUGUGUUUAAGUCAUCAGGGAAAGCAUUUUUUGGUUGCUGUGGUCUUUUAAGGGCUGCACCUGCUGCAGAUGGAGGUCCCCAGGCUAGGGGUCAAUAGGAGCUACGGCUGCCAGCCUACACCACAGCCACAGCAACACCAGAAGCAAGUCACCUGUGUGACCUGUUCUACAGCUUGUGGCAAUGCUGGAUCCCUAACCCACUUCAGGCCAGGGACUGAACCCGC